GAAAAAGCAGAGCUCUGUUGCAUUUGACAGAUCUCACGUAUACUUCAGGGAAAUUGAAUUGGUCAUCGUGAUUGGGUGAAUCUGAGUUUUGAUUUUAUUACAACUAAAAGGUUCAGUACAUGAUGGUACACUG
rfam:Brassica napus, WGS project CCCW01000000 data, contig: 20533